rnacentral:tRNA from 1 species
GGUGGCUCAGUGAUAGAGCACUUGCCUUGCAUGCAUGAGGCCCUGGGUUCAAUUCUCAGCACCA